CUCUACAAGGUGUCGAAUGCGUUCCAAAGGGAUGCUGGGCCAUGUUGACUCCAAUGCUUCCCACAGUUGUGUCAAAUUGGCUGGAUGUCCUUUGGGCGGUGGACCAGUCUUGAUACACACGGGAAACUGUUGGGCAUGAAAAACCCAGCAGCAUUGCAGUUCUUGACACAAAUCGGUGCGCCUGGCAUCCACUACCCCGUUCAAGGAACUUCUAUGUUUUAGUCUUGCCCAUUCACCCUCUGAAUAACACACAUACACAGUGUGUUCUCAGUUGCCUCAACAAGUGAAAACAAUAAGGGAUUCUAGCAUCUGGAUUCACCUGGUCAUUCUGUCAUGGAAAGAGCACGUAUUCUUUGUGUAUAACGGGGAUAGGUUGGAAGUAGGAUACCAUUUCAGACGAGCCUCAUGUUAUUGUCAUGGAAAGAGCACGUAUUCUUUGUGUAUAACGGGGAUAGGUUAGAAGUAGGAUGCCAUUUCAGACGAGCCUCAUGUUAUUGUCAUGGAAAGAGCACGUAUUCUUUGUGUAUAACGGGGAUAGGUUGGAAGUAGGAUGCCAUUUCAGACGAGCCUCAUGUUAUUGUCAUGGAAAGAGCACGUAUUCUUUGUGUAUAACGGGGAUAGGUUAGAAGUAGGAUGCCAUUUCAGACGAGCCUCAUGUUAUUGUCAUGGAAAGAGCACGUAUUCUUCGUGUAUAACGGGGAUAGGUUAGAAGUAGGAUGCCAUUUCAGACGAGCCUCAUGUUAUUGUCAUGGAAAGAGCACGUAUUCUUCGUGUAUAACGGGGAUAGGUUAGAAGUAGGAUGCCAUUUCAGACGAGCCUCAUGUUAUUGUCAUGGAAAGAGCACGUAUUCUUCCUGUAUAACGGGGAUAGGUUGGAAGUAGGAUGCCAUUUCAGACGAGCCUCAUGUUAUUGUCAUGGAAAGAGCACGUAUUCUUCGUGUAUAACGGGGAUAGGUUGGAAGUAGGAUGCCAUUUCAGACGAGCCUCAUGUUAUUGUCAUGUCUAAUGUGUUGUCCUUCCAUAUUUUGUAGGUGGCCAACUACAUGACUUAUGUAAUGACCAUGCUAUUAUGUCUAAUACUGUCCAUCUAUACAGGUGACCAGAGCCAUAUAUUUAGAGUUGGGCCAACUUUAAGAAUGGAUGCCAUGUUGGCGCCUUCGAGCGUUCCAUUUAUCCAUUCAUGAUGACAAUUUUGAAUAUUGUACUUAUCGUUGCUUUAUUAUUCAGUGAACUGCUGUUGGUCAAUAUUGCCCAUGAGGAGCUAACAUGGCUGCCAUGGAAUGUAGGUAAUGUAAAUGCAUCAUAAUGCAGAAACCUCAACAUCCUAACUCUCUAAAUAUGUGA